GAUGAACGCUGGCGGCAUGCCUUACACAUGCAAGUCGAACGGCAGCACGGACUUCGGUCUGGUGGCGAGUGGCGAACGGGUGAGUAAUAUAUCGGAACAUACCCUAGAGUGGGGAUAACGUAGCGAAAGUUACGCUAAUACCGCAUACGAACUAAGGUUGAAAGUGGGGGAUCGCAAGACCUCAUGCUCAUGGAGUGGCCGAUAUCAGAUUAGGUAGUUGGUGAGGUAAAGGCUCACCAAGCCGACGAUCNGUAGCUGGUCUGAGAGGACGACCAGCCACACUGGACUGAGACACGG
rnacentral:rRNA from 1 species